CCGCUGGGAAGCCUCCGCCAACCAUUUCUGAAAAAUUAGUCCCUCUUACCAUAGCACUUACCUACUCCCCCGCUUCUAUUCUAUUCUCUUCACCCAGCCUUUCUAGAUAGCCAAGUAUGUGCCAGUGUCCUGGACUAAGGUUGGAGCAGGUCGUCAGGAAAAGCAGCAGAGGAGGAACACCAUUUCAGUAGGAUCCUGAACGAUGACUAGAGACUCACUCGGUGAAUGAGAAAGGGCAGGACACGCCCAGGACACGCCCGGGAGGAAGCAGCAAGAGGACAGGCUUGGAGAUGGCAAGUGCCUGGCAUCUUUGGGGAGGAGUGAGCAGUUCAGGAUAGCUGAGCUCUGGUGGAGGGCAGCUCCAGAGGAGACAGAAAAGGCAGGUGACGGCAGGUUCUGAAGGGCCAAGAGUUACUUAAUAGGCAACAGUAGUCAGAGGUUUGCAACCAGGAAGUGACACCAUCAGAUGAGGGUUUUAGAAAAAAAUAGCUCUGGGAGCAACCAGCAGGAUGAGAUGAAGGAAGAGGAGAGCUAUUGCAGCAUUUGCCCAAAUUAUACAGAAAUUAAGCUUUUAAUUUUUUUUUUGUAUUCUGUUUUGUUUGAUUUCUUGAUUUGGUAGAAUUCUCAAGAGCCAUGAUAGUGUUUCUGUGUACAUAAUAGUCACUCAACGUUUGUUAAAUGAAGCGAGUGAAUGAAUGAAUACAUAUAUCUCAUGGGGAAAUUUUUUAAUUUGAGAAAAAUCUAAUCCAGGAGUCAAGUUUCCUAAAACUGUGAUGUCAGGAUUAUGUUGAAAGAAUUUAUCUUGCCUCAUUGUGGAAUCAGGUGUUCCACAUAACUAGUUUUCCAAAUAGCUUAAGUGUUCAUGUCCUGACACCAAAAAAUCCAUCUUUUAAUUUCAAGGUAAUUCUUUGAAGACACGUUGCUUUUUUACUUCCUUAAGUUGAAGCCAUAGAACUUAAUUUUUUCUUGGAAGACACAAGCUCAUGGAUACCCACUGCAGCACAAGGAGGUGGCAUGGUAAAACAGAAUGACAUCAUGACGUAGGAGUCAGACAGACCAUGGGAAAAUUCUGGAACUGCCACUUACUAGCUGUGAUGGUUUUGUCAAUUUACAUCUCAGCUUGAAUUUGCUCAUCUAUAGAAUGGGAAUAUUGAUGCCUAAAUCAUGGAAUGAAGUUAGAUGAUUAUGGAAAAGCACCUGACACAUAGUAGGUGCUCCAGAGACUAUAUUUACCAAGAGAAAUGCAGUUAUGAAUUUUUCAGGUUUAUAUUUUCCCAAAAUAUCAGACUACCAGCUAUCAUUUCUGAUGUCAUUUGUCUGCAUCUAACAAAUCCUCCUUUUCUCAAUUCUCCUUCUAAUAAGCUAAUUCUAAUUUUCUUUAAUUAUUACCCGAUAAUAUAUGCCCCUUAAUAAGCAUAGAUAAAGCAACAAGUGUCUGAAUGAAGGAAGGCCUAGGAAGAUCACCGUUUGGGUGAAAAGGUUAUGUGAAAGCCAACAGGAGUGCUCAGAAGCCCAGCUUGUUUACUUCCCAAUCCCAAAUUGUGUCCUAAAUGUUAACAACACCAAGACUGUCUUCCUCCAAAUACCUAAGAUGUGAUUACGUAGAAAGUAGAAAAGACACAAAGCUAGACUAUUUGGAGUAAAUAUCUGUUGAUAAAGGUAUAAAGCAUUGAGGCCAAAAACAAAUUCACUAACAAUUUAAAAUGAAAACUAAAAUUUGAGGGAAAGAAAAAUGAUAUGAGAAACUAGAAGGAAGAACAAAUCCCCGUAGACUAUGAUAAAAUACUUCAGUCACUGCAUAGGUAAAGGAAAAAUCAAGUUUAUUGGAAGUAAUUUAGUGACUACUUAUGGAAUUACAAUAAAGGUCACAAAAAUCCCAGAAUUUGUAAGGCAAAUGUAAAUAUAAAUAUAAAUCAAUUACUGGCUUAUUAUUUCAUUAAAUUGAAGAUGGAAAGGACCAAUUCUUGAGUCACAGUGUUUGCCUCCUGGGGUCCUAAAUAGCUUUCUCUGUCAAAUUAAAAUAAAAAAGAUAAAUAAACAUGAGAAAUUAAGAAUGUCGAAGUGUAUGAAGGGAAAAGGAAAGAAGGGGGAAAAUAAUGUUUCACAAUUAUUAUCCAGGCUAAGAGAAACAAAAUUACUUGAUCAUAAAUUCAAGAUAAUCUGGUUUUCUUUAUGAGUUCCCAUUUUAUUAAUGAAAGGAAGGUAACACCUUAUUGUACCCGGGUGAAUUAAAAUGCCUAUUUGAAGAAGCAAUCCUCCAUAGGGGUCUUUAAUAGAAUCUGUGAAUGGUUCUAGAGCCAGAUAAUUUAGCUGUAAAAAGGCAAUAUUAAUAUUAACCUCUCCAUGUGCACAGACCUACCUUGAGGGGCAUAGGGACAGUGAAAUGUUAACAGAAUGAACCAGACACAUCAUUUCUUUUCUUAAAAAAUCUGAACUAUUUCAGGGGCAAAAAUUGGAUAAACCUCUUCUACAAAAUUGCUUGCAACGUGCACUGUUAAUUCUUUAUGCCUCUUGCUUCUAACAACACUGGCCAGCAAUUCAGCACUCUCAGUGCUGCUCAUAUUAUUUUCUGACUUUGUAUUCAGAGCAUAUGACUUGCAAGAAGUCUAAUAGCCAAGCAUUUAAUUGAAAUAAACGGAAUAGAAAACGAACUUCCAAAUGCAGAACAGUCUCAACAGGAGCCAUGACAACACAUUUCCAAAUUAGAGGCAGGCGCUCAGUAGGGUCCCUGAAGUCUAUGACUUAAUACAAUAAAAACAGGUAAUUCGAAGAAAGAGGCAAAUGUACUUUAAUUGAGCAACUGGUCAGUUGGUGAGAAAUAUAGACAUAACAAAUGGCUCAUCUCUUUGUCCCAGACAUGCAGUUAGUUUUUAAUGGAAAUCCCAAUAUAUUGCACUCUCGCUCUUUAUAACUCCCAUCACCAAUACCAUAUCUGCCCUCAUCACCACCUUCCAGACUACUGCAAACCUCCUAGCAUCGCUGUACCCAAACUCUUUCAAUGCAUCCUAGGUAGCCCAGUAGGAUUUUUCUUCCUGGUGCCCCACGUUGUCUGUGGCACACCCCCAGUCAAACACCUUCAACUGCCCACCAUUAGUUACUGAACUCCUAGUUGAACUUCUGUUAGCUGCCAUAAAUGACCUUUCACCAUAAGGACUCAAUCUACAUUUCCAGCCUUCUAACUCAUUAAUCCUGAAAGAUGGAUUUCUCUAAAUUCUAUGAUUUGCUAUUACCCAAUGUCUCCAUGCCCUUCAUACUCCAGUUACAUUUUCCCAACAUCUAGAUUUUCUCUUUUAUCCCCAUCUCCACAUAUUAAAAUCCUAUUAGUUCUUCAAGUCCUAAUUCAAAUGCCACACUUCCAUGAUGCUUCCCCCUAAUUAUUCCACAAAGAAGUAGGCUUUCCUAACCCUCAUAGGUUUUUUCGAUACUUAUCAACUUUCACUUCAUACUACAAUUACUUAUAAAUAUAUAUUAUUUCCUUCCCUCCCACUCCACUAAGACAAGGUCUUAGAAGAAGCGGUUUAGCUUAGUUGGUAAAGAACAGGCUUUUCAAUCCAACAAAGCAAAGUGUGAUACCAAGCUCCUUUACCAUCUAGCUAUACAAACUUAAGCAAGAAAUCAGCUUUCUUAAACUGUUUGCUCAACUGGAAAAUGCUUGAUAAUUAUGCCUGCCUUAAUUCAUGCUAUAAGGAUGAAUAACAUUGUAUGUAGUGAUAGCACAAUGCCAGGCAUAUACUAAUUUCUCAAUAAAUGAUAGCUAUCAUUACUAUGAAAGUGGACAGUACUUAUUAUCAAUCUUUGUGUUUGACAGAGCACAUAAUAAUUAGCAUACCUUGCAUAUACUAGGUAUUCAACAAAUGUGUAUUGAAUGAAAGAAUUAAUGAAUGAGAAUGCGGGGGAGGAAGGAAUUUUUCUCUACCUUUUCUAGGUUCUUCUGGCUGAUCUAAGAACUAAAUUGACAUGAGACAGAUUAAUAGGAGAAAAUCAAAUUUAAUUGCAUAGGUAGAGGAACCCCACAUUCAUGAGAGGGUCAGAGACCCCAUAUACGUGAGAGGUUCAUAGACAGAAAGGUAAAAUGAAGUAUAUAUGCCAUCUUGAGCUAAGGAAUGGGAUAGGGGCCUGAGGCUUCAGACGGGAGGAGAGUAAUUCAUGUGACGAUAAGAAGAGCAGAUGCUCACUAAUUAGAGGUUUGCCCUGCCAUACAGAUAGGUCAUAAAAAGUUAUUUCUUAUAAUAACUCUUAUUAUGGGCAAGACUCCCAAUUUAUAUUCUUUAAGAGAGAGGUAAAAGUUUUUCUGGAACCUGCAGGGUCUUGAUUGCCUUUAGCUCAAAAUAUUCCACAUGCCAAAGUGGCACAUCUUGGGGAGGACUGUUCUGAGCCCCUUCAAGUGAAAGACUCAAAGAUUGUUUCUGAUCCCACUGAAUGCUCUCAAAAGUUAGCAGAUGGUGAGAAGCCUGACUAGAGGUGCAAUGUGGUCACCACAUUCCUUUCCUUUGAAAACACCAUUACUACGACCAUCGUUAACCUUGGGGAACUAGAAGAGAAAUGAGAAACUACAAAAUCCAAUCCAAUGGAGUAAAGUUGAGGUCCUGAAUAAUCCAGAAGAACAAUCCAUCCCAAAACAUUUAAAUUUGAUGUUGCAAUGUGGUUUUGAUAUUUGUAUUUAAUUUGGGAAUAAUUUAUUAUUUUAGAAUUCACAAGCCAUCUAAUUUAAUUGUUACAAAUGACUCUCUGCUUACAACUAUUUCCUCUUCCUUUCUCCCCAAGAGAAAUAGCAUUCUCCCCCUAUAAAUGGAAGCAAGCCACCUGCUUAUUAGGAGUUAUUUUUGGCUGUGGAUAUUAUACUUGGAUGUAUAUAUUUUACAACUUCUCAAUAUUGAAGGGAAGGUAAUUGUAGCAGAUUGCAUUUUCCAGAAGUGACCACAGCAAUUUGAAGUCUUACAUUCUCUUUCAGAAUCUUCUCACUCCCCAUGAAAAGGUGGAGUCUAUUUCCCCUUCCCUUGAACUUGUUAGGCUUAUCACUGCUCACAUGAAUAGAGUGGAUGGACGUGAUGGUACAUGAGUGCCCAACUCAAAACGAUACAGCUUAGCUUCUGCCCAGGUCUCUCUCAACAUGUUAUGAGCAAGCCCAGAGCACAUGGAGAGGUCACAUGGAGGUCUUCUGGUCAAUAGCCACAGAUGAGUUUCAGCCUACAGUGAGCAUCAACUGCCAGAAAUCUAAGUGAGCAAACUUCCAAUGAUUCUCAGCUCCCAGCUUUCAAGUCUUCCAGCUACGGCCGCAGACAUUGUGGAUGGAGACAAGCUGUCCCCACCAUGACCAGAUUGAAUUUCUGACCCACGGAAUCAAUAAGCCUAAUAAAUAAUUGUUUUAUGCCAGUGAAUUUGGGAUGAUUUGUUAUGCAGCCAUAGUAACCGGAAUGAUAAUUAGGUAUCUUGUUGUUUUUUAAGUGUCCAGCUGGAUUGUAGGUUUCAUGAGUAGGGGAAAAAUGAAAAGAAACAACAGAUGACUUUGCACAAGUUAUUUUAAACCCUUAGCAUGAUUGAUUCGCAUAUCAAAAAUGUGGCAGGUCCAUCCUGGGAUAAUUAAAAGUUAGAAUUUUUAAUAGUAACAACUGGAGACAGGAAUGAGGUUUUGCUCUACUAUUUACCAGGAAGCGAGAAAGAGACAAAUGGACAACAGUAACCAAUCCAGUUAACUAGCAACAUGCAGAGUUAAUCCACUAUCUGGAAUAAUUUAGCAACUGUCUGAAAAAGUCUGUUUUUGCCUAUCUGAGAGUUUUGAAAUAAAGCUACAUAACUAUUAGGGCUUUUCCCACUUUUCUUGUUUCAUUGUCUAGCAUGAAGCCUCAUUUUAUUAUUGCACAUGAGAAAUCUUGACUCUUAGCUAAAAUCUGAGAAUAAUAGUGGUACAUGCCCAUUAUAAAAACUGCAUACACAUCUGGAAGGAACAUUAAUGUCUUGUCUUUUCCUAGUUUCUAUUUUUUGGUCCAUAAAAUAUUAUACCCAUUACAUGGAUCAGACAAGUGACGGCCAGGGGAAUUCAGUAUCUUACCAGUUUAUACAGCUACUAGGAGCAGAAAACCAAAAUUCAAGCCCACUUUCUUUUAUUCCAAGUUCUUUCUCUAAUGAUCCUACCUCUCAAUAGAAGAAUGAAUGAUAGUUAUACUAUAUAAACAAGAAUUUCAACUUUCUUACUUUCUAAUAAAAAACCAAAUAAAAUUGGUCAAUAUGAACCAUUUCCUCUUUUCAAGGUAUAUGGACUGUUACUUCCAUCCCACAAAUUUGCAGCCAGGAAGGCAAAGGGAGGCUGCUGUGGCUUUACAAAAAGGCUGAGAGACGUUAACCCUCCCAGCUUCCCAUUCCCAGAGGAAAACCGAGGGAGGAGGUACCAUCUCUAUACAGUUUGUAGGAUUGUUUUUUUUUUUUUUGGUUUUGCUUUUUGCUUUUUUCCAUCUCUCUACCUGUAUCAGUCUUGUCGGUCUACCUUGUUGCCUUGAUUAGUUAAACCAGAAUCUUCUAUUUAGGCUCUGAUAUAUCUAAUACUUCAUCUGGUUUCUUGCAUUCAAAAAAGAAAGAAGAGAAGAGAAAAGAAAGUCAUCUGUAGCGUCUUGUUUUCCCAAGUCUUCAUGAAAUUCAUUAAGCCCCACUGACGCUUUCAUUUACUUUUAGACAAUAUUUCUCCUUGCCUGGGAAGGGAAAUACUUGCUGGCUUACUACAGGUUGAAUAUAUACAUAAAACCUGUAAAUCACAAAGGGUCUAAAUGCUUUCUACAGUUUUUCAACGCUCUAGACUUGAAUAGAAAGAAAGCUUUAAUGGAAAGAGGAAAAAGAAACCACCAUUUCAAGUAAAUUAAAAGCAACCUCCAGGCAAAGGACUAUACCUGGAAAAUAACUUUCCUUCUAGUAUGAAAUUUAGAAUAGAGGAACAGAAGGAGCCCAUUUCUAAAAGCAGCAGCUUCCAAUCCAUUCAUUUACCACUCACUAAAAUUCAAAAGUCAGUUCAUUGUCGAAUCUAGUCAUUACGCCAUAAUAUCGGGCUCUAACAAAUUGAGAUUUCUUUUAUAUAUUUGUUCUCUAUGCUGGAUAAAAAUAGCAGUAGGUGAAAAAGCCAUUCAGAAACUUAGAAGUAGACAGAAUUGCUCAGGAACAUAAGCUUAGAUUCUGAUGAUGCAAAUGUAUUUCAAGAAACUUCAUUUCCGCGCAAGACCUAUUUAACAAUUCCUUAACAAUUGAGCAAUUACUGAAGUCCCGAUACUCUUUGGAUGCUCACCAAGUGAGUGAAAGUUGAUUAAGCUGAAAUUUGUGGCAGGUCUCCUGGUAUGAAGAGAAGAGGGCCUGAUGCCCUUGUUAAUUAGACAAUCCUCUGUGGAAUGGAACAAUAUGGUGCCAAAGCUGUGCACUAAGUUCAUGACUCUAUCAUUAACCCGCUGCACGCUCCUCGGCCCUACAUAAUACACAGGGAGGCUGAACCAGAGCUCUCUGCUCCUGAAUCCCCCUCACCUUGCCGUCCAGCCUGAAGGUCCAUUUCAAAACCUCAAAAGCCCACAAGGCUCUUUUGGGGCCGUGGGUGGGGUCUUGGGCAGGGUUGGAGCUAACCACUAACCAUACAGCUGUGGUCUCUAAAUGGCUCACCCUGCAACAGCCUCACGCAGAUUUUGGCAGGAACAUAUUCACAAUUCCCCACUGUGUGUGCAAAGCACACUGAAGCAGUAGGAGACAUUCUUCCUGCUUCUUUAGACAAGGUCAAAGUAGCUUGAAAAUGCUCAGAUGGGAGUUUGGAAUGUGUCGUGAAAACCUUUUCUUACUAGUCAGAUAACCUGUCAGUGACAAUAACAACACACACAUUGUUUGCCAGCUGAUUAAGUCACUUCCUGGAAGGCAUUGACCAGAUUUUCUUUUCCUCUUAACCAAAUAAAUGAGUGAAGUGGUUUAAACACAUUUGACCAGCAAAUAAUAAGAUUGUGCAAUACUUUUGGUUAAAGUAUUCCACUCUCUAAAUUUAGCAGCUUUGCUUUUAUUCUCAGAGGAAAGAGACAUUUGAGGGGAGGAGGGGAGCCUCCAAGGAGAUACUUUAAGAAAAAAAAUUCCUGAGUAAAUUUUCCCUGAAGUCUUGGGCUAAAAGAAUCUUCCUGUGGGAGAAAGGAUCCAAUGGAGGGGUUCCCCUGAUCACAGCUUCCCAUUAUGAUCACAGGGACUCGGGCACAAAGUUCUCCAAGGGAGGCCUCCACUUACUGCUGGGGGGAGAGGGCAACAGAAAGUGUGCAGACUUUUGCUUCUCUAAGGAGGGGAACACAUAUUGGACUUCUUUGGGUGGCAAGAUAGUUUUAUUAUGAAAAUGACCUUUCCAUAAAGCUGUUGGAGUGAAUUAAUAUCAACUCAGUCAAAAAUAACAUGAGAUUUACUCAAUACUGCUUUGCUAAUAACGCUAGCGAUAAUAGCAGUAGUAUCAUUCUCAGUAUCCAGAUGAGGAACUGAGGAAGUAAAAGAUCAUUGCCUUACGAGAGUUACACAGCUCAGCGGCUGGUAUAGAAACCUAUUACCCUUGGUUCCUGACUCAGUCUUCUCUCAUAGAUAAUUUGGCAUAUUGUCUAUUUCCAGACACUUCUCUGUCUUUGUUUUUUAAUAACACCUCCAGCAAUCAGAAAAGAGACUCACUGUAAUGUUAGCAAGGUCAUCAAAACUCGGUAGGAGAAAGGGUUGAAGUAAACAGUAAAGCAGUGGUCAGUAGAUUCUGUCUGAAUCCCGUUUAUCUGCAUCCCUGAUUAGCAUAUACUAUAGAGAAUUGUGGGCGGUUGGCUGUACUAGUUCUUCAUUGAUUUGAUCUAAUUUGACUAACAAAGAUUGCGUGUUCCAAGGGUCUGAUAGCUCAAUAAAAUAGGAAUAUAUCAUCCACCUUAUCUCAUUCUAUUUUUGAUAAGCAAUUCAGGUAUUAAAAAUAAAAAAGCAGCAAGCCCCCAGCUGGAGAUUAUGAGUGAACAUUAUUCAUGUGGAAGCCAAGAGAAAUACAAAAACAAAAACCACAAAGAUUUCAUCUCUGUUUGUUCUGCGCAUGGACCUAGGUGACAGAGGGCAAGUUGUCCAACCUCUCCUCCAUGCUCCAUCUUCACCUAACAAAUGCUGCCCUGCUCAGGGUGCUACUCAAAUGCUACUUCCUCCCCAGAAUUACCCCUGAUCAUCCUGGAUAGAAGAGGCCAGUUCCUCACCUUUCAGUUCUGAAGCAGGAAUUGUAUUACCAUUCCUGAAUCAUUCAUUUCUCUGUAUCUUACAUGGGAUUUAUGUGUAUAUGUGUAUGUGUUUUGUCACCCAAAGUGGAAAAAAACAGACAACAUGGAUCGUGGAGUAGGGCACUCCAGACCUUAGGGCUGUACCUUUGCAUGUCCUUAAGCAGGUUGCCUAACCUCUCCAUGACUCAGUUUCCUCACUUGAAUAAUGAGGGUAUUACUCAUCUCCAGUGUGUAUAAAGAUUCAGCAAGGUAUAAAUGCACGAAGCGCUAAGCAGGGCACUGACAUAGAGGAGACUGUCAGCGAGUAUUGGUUUCUCUCCCUUUCUCCUAACAAGAUUAUAAACUCCCAGACUGGGAUCACAUCUUACAUGUCAGCACAGACUUGAAAGAGGCAGUCAUUUCAAAUAUUUGUGGAAUUCAUAUUUUGAAUAAUAAUGAGAGAAGUAUAAAGAGGUAAAAGACUAAAAUAACAAGUACAACAGAAAGAAAACUGAUAUUUGGACAUAUGACAAUCUUGUUUAUUUCAGGAAAUAUGAGGAAAUGAUUCCUCGUGGCUGCUGGAGAAGAGGGAAAUGAUAGUUCCAUGUGGAUGGGGAUUAUAGUGCAAGCAUUUGACAUGGAGGCUGACAAGAGAGAGAACGGCAGGAGAAUCAUGCCUGGAGAAAGAAUGGGAACGAGGUAUGUGAGCAUCAAGCCCACUCCAAACCAAGGGAGGGCAGGCGCUGCGAAGAGCUGCAUAUGCUCUAUCAUGCAUAUUGCAUGUCUCAUCUCCUUUCUCACGUUUUCUCUGAAGCAGUAAAGAGUAAUUCAAAAACUUUGAAUAUAGGAAUAACAUUUGUGACAACAACAACAUUCUGGACAUCUGCACUGUUAGAGUACUUAUAAUAAAGUCACAUGGCCAUGGGGAAAUUUCACAGAAUUACAAUCUCAGUAAUUUGCCAAGGUGUAUAACUAGUUUGUUUUCAGCUGUUCUUCUCAUGAAUAAUUAUCAAGCAGGAAUAUCCUAAAGCUAGCACAAGCUGUCACUUAACCAAAAUAUUCAAUAUUUAACAUCGAAUUUAGAAUUUCAUAAAUGAAAAUAAUACUGUAAAAGCAAAAUAAUAUACAGUGUGUAUAUUUGCAUGCCUAAAUGCACACAGCUACAUGUUAAAAUUCAGAUUCCAAAGCAUCUUUAUCAAAGGAGAGCAUGUCUUGAAAGUUGAGGAGGAAUAGAAGAGAUCUAAGCACAAGGAAAUCUCAGCCAUUUUCAAGUACAGCUUGGUCUUCAGUCCUUUAAGGACUGCCUCUCAAGGCAAAGUGGGAAAUGAAAACCAGCCUCUGCAUAUUGAUGGUAGCUGAUUACAAUUGUGUUAGAAUCUUUAUUGGAGUUUUUAAAUGUUUGAAAACAAAUACUAUAUAAUGGGUAGCAUAGUAUAUAGGUUAUGUUUUUAAAUUAAUACAAGUGCAUCACUAAACAUUUUAGCAUUAAUUUCUGGAGUGAAUAUCACAGUUCAACCUUAAGUACCUUCUAAAAAAUUUACUCCUAUAGAGAAAGUGACAAGAAUGUCAUUUCUUGUAAUACACAUCACCAAGUUAUUAAACCCGAUUUUGCAUACAUAUUAUAUAUAUACAUUAUAUAUAUAUAUAUAAUUUCUAGUACCUCUCUAAAAAUUAUUUGACUAAAGCAAAUGGAGAUUUCUUUCUCCAUUCCAGAAACCUAUAAAUGUAUCGUGAGUUUAUAAAAUGGGUACUUUAAGCCAUUCGAGCAAUUCUAGUGUAUAUUAAGGAUUUUUGUUCUACUGUUUACUUUCCCAUUAGUAGAAAACUUCUCAGUAAUACAGCUUAAGAAUGUUUUUUCACUUGAGUAAAAGAUAAAUGAUAUUGGGGAAGAAAUUCAAACAUGAGAAGCAAAUCUAUAUAACUGAAUUGUGGGUAAUAGGUAGAAAUUCCUUUGGGGGAUAAAUAAUAUUUUCACUUGGAUAACACCAUUUGGUUCUCUGAAUAGAAUAUUGGUUUCCCCAAAACUUUAGGGAAAUAAUUCUAUUUUGUCUGUCUUGUGAUUUAUUUUAAUCACACCUAUAUGAGAUUGAUAAAAGAAAUGUAUUCAUUGGAACUAGGACUUAUUACAAGUAGAACAAAGGUACAAAAUGGCUUCCAUCUUAACUUGUAAAUUAUCAAAAGUUUUCAGAUAGUUACAUGACUUUUCUUGAGCCUGAAAGUACAUAAUCCUAGUGAAAAGAGUACUUGGAAAUCAAAAAUAAGAUUAGUGACCCAACUAGGUCUAUCAGGGAUUCCUCAAGAUUUAUGCCAAUUCCAAUUUAUGCUUUAGUUUUCCCAUCACUAGAAAUGUGACUGUUAGGCACAAUAAGAAAGAUAUUAAUACUAUUGCCAAAACAAUGUGCUAAAAUAAGUGGAUUUAUUUGAUCACAACCCAAACACAUGAGUGAUAACCUUAAAGCAGGUAAAAGGUGGAGUUGCAAAUGUUGAAAACAGAAAUGGUUUAUUUUUACAUAUCAAUUACUUUAACCACUGUAUCACACAUGUUCCUGUACAUGAUUGGCAGAUCAGAAGAACCAGUCUUCAAACUGGUUCAAACUUCUUCCUCGUUCUCUAUUUCUCCACUGUACACUUAUAAACCUGCCAUUUCCUCUCCAUCCCUGCUGCUGCUAUUCAAAUUCAUUCUCCCAUCUUUACUUGCCUGGCUGAUUUUAAUUGUUCCAACCUCAGUCUUCCUACCAUCCAUCUUUCCCCAUUCCAAUCCACCAUCCUCACAAAUGGGGGCCCCAUAAACCUCUUCAGUUUAAUCACCUGCACCCUAUCAUCACUCCUGAUCUCAUACUACACUCUCUUAUGUCACCAUGCUUUACCUUCUGCUUAGGAUGCCCUGACCUCUCUACCCAGCCUCUGAAUAUCUAUUUAUACCCCGAGAUUCACUUCGCUGUAUUGUCUUUCCAAUUUUCCAAGGAGAAAAGUAGUUUUGACUCUAGUGUACCAUAGACGUUUCAACCUAACUCUGUCAUAGUCCUAAUCAUAAUACUUUGGAGCAAAAGCCAUUUCUAUUCUACUAAGUCUUGGGUAUAUUUUUAAAAAUACACAUAGUAGGUGUUGAAUUUAAUUGAUCCCUAAGAAAACUGGUCUUGCUGGAAGAAAUAAAAGUACUCCCAACAAAUGUACUCAUGUAUAACCAUUUAAUGUAGAUAAGAGAAGACUUCUGGUAUAUAAUGGCAUUUGGCCACCAUCCCCUGGCACUGCCUCUCCCAAUUGUCAAUAACAUACAUACGAAAUGGAAAACUCUAACAUAGAGAAUUAAGACUGACAGGAAACCCAGUGCCAGAAAUCUGGGAAAAAUUUAGAGUGAUUAUAAGGCUGAUGCUUCAAGAGUGAGAAAACAGUCGGUAGCCUAUCCAAGCAUCACCUCGUAAAACAGAAAAGUCUACCUCCUUCAAAAAGCAUAGAGUUUUUUAUUUUUUCUGUUCAAAACGAGUGCUGAUUUUCAGGCAGGCAGAAUAUUAUACUCCCUUCCUGUCCACUCAUAUUUCUUAGCUAUUCAGAUAGAAAAACUCUCAGAAAAUAAUAGUUGAGAAAGAGAGACGUGAGAAGAUAAUUACAGCCCAUUGCAUCCUGGGAGAUAUUGUACCCACAAAUGAAGUGUGGAAGGAAGAACUGGAAGAGUCCUGCUCUCAAUGAAUCCUAAAGGUAAUAGUUUCAAUUAAUUCCAUUAUUCUGGGUGGGUAGUGCGGGUAGUGGAAGAUUCCACCUCAGCAGAGCAGGACCACACCCUGUCAAUGGCCACUGGUCACUGCAAAUCAGGAAGGAAAAUGGACACAUUAAGCUCUCCAACAGUAUGUAGAGAAAGGUGCAAGGAGCAAAAAUGAAAAACAAUGACCCGGGAAAAAAGUUCUCAUUUGAGUAAAUGUAAGAGAAAUAAAACAACAAGUGACCUGAGGUUAAAUGUGGUAAAACAAGCAAAGAAAAUAUCGUUCAGAAGUUUUAGAUAUUUCUCACUCUUAUAGAAACCAUGAAAACAUUUUAGAAAAUUGUUUGCCCUCUUCAAUAUACCAUAAAAAGAAAGAAUAAUCUGAGAUAAAAGAAGAAUAGAUUGGGAUGAAAAGUCUACUAAAACUUGAAUUAAAAGUAAAAAUCUCCUGAAUAGGAGAGUUGAGAUAUACAACCUAGAGAUGAGUCCUGAAAUAAUUAAACAUAAGUGUUAGCCCUAAAUAGCUCUUGCAAAUAUAUUUUCAAAUCUGAAUGCAGAUGUCAAAAAUAAUUCCUAUGAAAGAAUAGAUCUGAAGUAAAAAUAAUUUAAUAAUAUCAAUCAAGGUCAAACACCCCUUUGGAAAUGAACCAGUCAGGAGUGGGGAUGGAUAAGGAACUAUAAAAGCAUUCCUUGUGGAUAAACAGAAGAUAUUAUUUUUUUCUUGACUUUAAUAUUCAGAAAAAUAGAAGUUGGAUAUUUUGGAAAAUAAGUAGAAAAAGUAUCAAGAUGUCUCCUUGCCUAGUCACUGGAGAAGACAAACGUCUAGUCCAUUAAAACAACAGCAACCAAAACGAAGGUAACAAAAAAAUAGAGAAAUGCAAAAAUUGAAGGAAAUGAAAGAGAACAUAAAAAGGAAGAUAAGCAUAACAAAAGAGAUAAGACCAAAUUUAUCAGUUUUGAAAAAACUGGAAAUAGCUGGAAAACUAUCGGAUUGAGUCAAAAGACACACUCUGUGUGCUGAUACUAUGAUAUCCCUAAUUUGGAAGUGAAUGUAAAUGUUAAAAAUAAAAGAGUGAGUAGAGAUUUCUCAAGCAAAUACAAAUUAAAUCAAAGUAGAGGUGACAAUGUUAAUUUUGGACAAUGGAGGUUUUAAGGUAGGAAGCAUAAAAUGGGAUAAAAGAAAUUUGUUUUAUAUUGAUAAAAGUUAUGAUAAUGAAAAUAUAGCAGCCAUGAAUCUUUACACGUCAAAUAAUACAACAUUCAAGAACAUUAAGGUAAAACUGGCAGGCAAAUAUGAAAUGAAAAACAGACAGAAAUAAAGUUGUUUUGAUAGAUUUCAAUACCUCUUGGACAGAUCAUGAAUAAUUUGAAAACAUGGAGAAUUGGACUAUUAUCAUUAAAACAAUGGCGACAUGGAGAAUUGAAUUAGUAUAGUUAAUAACAAGAUAUGUAUUGAGCUGCCUACUCUAAAAGAGAGUUUAUUUGUCUUUGAAGAAUCCAUGUAUAAUAUAUUUAAAAAUUGAUUCGAUACUAACUCAUGAGGGAAAGCUGAAUAAAUUAUCAGAAGCAGAAAUAAUACAGAUCAAAUAAUCCAAUUACAUAUCCUGCAACUGCAAAUAUUUUAAUCAACCUUAAAAGACUCCCCAAUCACUUGAAAACAUUUGUAUCAGAGUAUGUGUGUAUAUACAUACUCACGCACAUGCACACAUACACACAUACACACAAAUACUCGCACACACACAUAUUCUAAAAUAUACAUUAAUGUCACUAUAUUUCAUGAUGUCUAGGAUUUGCUUUAAAAUACUACAGGAAAAAAAAGUUGGGGGCACAGGUGAAAUGAGUAAGGCAAAAUGUUGAUAAUUCUUGAAACUUGGUGAAAGGUACAUAGGGGUUGAUUAAACUAUAUAUUGGAUAUGUGUGAAAUCCCACAUAAUAUAAAUACUUUAAAAAGUACCACAAAUCAUAAUUUAUGGGUUGCUUAAAAAGCUGAAAACUGGAGGCAAAUUCAUAAUCCUAAAUGCUAUCAACAGAAAAAAUUAAGAAAAUCAGAAAGAAGAAAA